GACGGAGGAUGCAAGCGUUAUCCGGAAUGAUUGGGCGUAAAGCGUCUGCAGGUGGCAGUUCAAGUCUGCUGUCAAAGACCGGGGCUUAACUUCGGAAAGGCAGUGGAAACUGAACAGCUAGAGUGCGGAAGGGGCAACUGGAAUUCUCGGUGUAGCGGUGAAAUGCGUAGAUAUCGAGAGGAACACCUGCGGCGAAGGCGGGUUGCUGGGCCGACACUGACGCUGAAGCGCGAAAGCCAGGGGAGCGAACGGG
rnacentral:rRNA from 1 species